rnacentral:rRNA from 1 species
UGGGGAAUUUUGGACAAUGGGGGAAACCCUGAUCCAGCCAUCCCGCGUGUGCGAUGAAGGCCUUCGGGUUGUAAAGCACUUUUGGCAGGAAAGAAACGUCGCGGGUUAAUACCCCGCGAAACUGACGGUACCUGCAGAAUAAGCACCGGCUAACUACGUGCCAGCAGCCGCGGUAAUACGUAGGGUGCAAGCGUUAAUCGGAAUUACUGGGCGUAAAGCGUGCGCAGGCGGUUCGGAAAGAAAGAUGUGAAAUCCCAGAGCUUAACUUUGGAACUGCAUUUUUAACUACCGGGCUAGAGUGUGUCAGAGGGAGGUGGAAUUCCGCGUGUAGCAGUGAAAUGCGUAGAUAUGCGGAGGAACACCGAUGGCGAAGGCAGCCUCCUGGGAUAACACUGACGCUCAUGCACGAAAAGCGUGGGGAGCAAAACAGGAUUAGAUACCCUGGUAGUCCACGCCCUAAAACGAUGUCAACUAGCUGUUGGGGGCCUUCGGGCCUUGGUAGCGCAGCUAACGCGUGAAGUUGACCGCCUGGGGAGUACGGUCGCAAGAUUAAAAACUCAAAAUGAAUUGACGGGGGUCAUAGCUGUUUUCCU